AGCCUACUAGCUCAAUAGGUAGAGCAUUGUGCAAAUCCACAAAAGAUGUGGGUUCGAAUCCCACGUAGGUCA
rfam:Spinacia oleracea cultivar SynViroflay scaffold23384.1, whole genome shotgun sequence.